GCACCGCCCAUCCCCCACCCCAUUGGGUGCUCCUGGCGCUUCCCUCACACGUCGAGCUCCCAUUCGCCCACUCUUCCAUAGGCCUCCACGCUCCCUUUCCCGAUUGGUCGGUCCGCGGCCGAGACGGGAGAGUUGGCGGCUGCUGAUUGGACUAGGUGCACGGAACGGCUUCAGCCGCCAGUCUCCAGGAGACGGAACAACCCCCGGGAAACGCCAUCUUUGUGCGGAGCAUGAUCGCGCAAUGGAAUUCUGUGCAGCCGCCAUCUUUGUGCGGGACCCAGAGCGGAGCAGGUGCAUAGCAAGAGGGAUAUUUGCUGCUGCACCUAGGACCGGGACUUGCCCUUGAGCAGCCAAUCAUCCAGGGCCCAACCAUCGAAUGGCAGGUCCUGCAUGAUCGAUUGGGACUCAGCCGAUAGGCCAGAGAGUGAAAGCCAGGACUCCCUCCUUAUGAAAAUCGCCGCGGCCAUCGAAUGAGCAGCCGUGUCCACCGCAUCGGAGGCCGCCUGGAGCGCUGCUUUAGCCGCCGCCCCACCCUCAUCAACAAGAGCCCGGAACUCCUUCCUGUCCUUCUUAUGGAGGGAGGGCUCAGACUUGGGAAGGGACCCUCACAGGUCAAAAUCAUAUCUGCUCAAGAAUGCCUGGUGGUUGGCCACUCUGAGCUGAAAGCUCGCAGACGAAUAAACCUUUCUCCCAAAGGAAUGCAGCCUGUGAACGUCUUUGUCCUUAGGGAUAGGAGCGGGUUGGCCAUGUCUCUCUCGGUGGUUCACCGACUCCACCACUAGAGAGUUCGGAGUUGGGUGGGAGUAUAAGUACUUGUGCACCUUAGUGGGCACAAAGUACUUCCGUUCGGCCUUUUUGAAGAUCGGACAGAGAGAUGCCGGGGUUUGCCAGAGGCCAGUAAUAAUAUUGGCCACCCCGUGAUGGAGUGGGAGGGCCACACGCCCCAGCGUCGAGGAGGUCAAGACAUUAAACAAUGUGUCCGAUGGCUCCUCCAUCUCUCGGCCUGGAGCUGGAGGUUUGAUGCCACCCUCCUGAGUAGCUCCUGGUGGGCCUUGAAAUCCUCCUGAGAGACCGGAGGUGGUGGCGCCACGGAGUCAUCUGGCGCCGAGGAGGUCGGUGCUGCAGUAUAUUAUCUGCACCUGGCUGUACCAAAAGCUCGACGUCCUGACCCGGGGCCCAAGUCGGUGCCAGAGGGUUGGUGCCCACUGCCUCAUCGCGGUGCCGAGGCGGCGACGUCGGCUGGGCCUGGGACGCUCCCGCCACGAAGCGGGAUCCCGGCGGUGCCAGUGCCUGGGGCCACGGUGCCCACUGGCACCACUGUCCCUGCCAGGGAACGGCCUGGCCCUGGGACGCAAGGUGGCCUGGAAGGGCCGGCUGGUCUUGCAGCACUGAGCGGCUCGACGAGGGGUGGCUAUGUGCCGAAGCCGAAGUCUGGGAGGAGCAGACGGUGCCGUAUGAAAGGCUGGAGCGGUCCGGUACAUGACGUCUCCGGCCCCUGGAGGAGGACAGGUAGGAGUCGGGAGUGCUGUCCCCGUAGUGCCUCCGGUGCCCAAGAGUACAACGCCUCGGUGCCUGGGACUCCUGUGACGAGCUCCGAGCGUAGCUCCUUCCACUGCGGAUGCCGGAGCGGGAACGGUGGUGCCGCCGCUGCCGAGACCUGUCCCUGCGGUCAAGGCUCGAAGAGGAGCGGCGACGUCUCUUAGUGCCUCCUCUACGGUCUGUCAGAGUGGAGUUGUAAAGCUCGCUCGCAGAUGAUCCUGCUCACGGUGUGGAGGCGCACCGAGGUCCAUGGCUCAGCCCUUCGACCUCGGAGAUGUCCGGGGAGGGUCGAUGGGACUGAGCGAAGGCUUCCCACGGGAUCGGGGUCCCGACUGAAGCGGCACUCCCAGUACCGGAAGCGUCAUGAUGUCGCACGUGGCCUGAGCUGCCUCCGGCAUCGAAGGCAUUCUCACCUCUGGCGAGGCGCGCAUGGACAGCACCGGACUACUCCGCUCCGCCCAAGUUGGAGGUCUCAGUCCCGAUGGGGAUCAUGGGCCGCCCAGCACGGGUCUAGCCUCACCUCGUUCUUUCUUCUGGCGCUGCUGAGUCUUCCCUUGCUUCUUAGAAGGGGAGUGGUGCCGGCUCUUCGAAGGGGCCUCGCUGCGCACCAACAACGCGGUACUGGGCGCGGCAUCAGGACGGCGUGCCUGGGUCGCUUCGAUGCGCACUGGGAGCCGAGGACGAGGUUCCUGGCGCGGGGUCAGCUCGACGCGUCGGUGCCGGAGUCAACGCCGACUCCAUUAGGAGAGCUCGAAGUCGGAUCUUACGCUCCUUCUUCGUUCGCAGCUUGAAGGAGCGGCAGAUCUUACACUUCUCACUAAUGUGAGCCUCGCCCAGACAGCGAAGACACUGAGUGUGUGGAUCACUUCUAGGCAUAGAAUUGCAACAAGAGUUGCACGACUUGAAGCCUGGGCCACGGGGCAUGCCCGAAGCCCAGCACUAACAGAGAAAGUUCAACAAGUAACUUUAGGGAAAGCUGGAUACCACUAAGGCUAGAAAUGCUUCAGUAAAGCUGGAGCACAAGUUCCGACUACCUUCACUGGCGGCAAGAAGGAACUGAGGGUGGGGGGAGCACGCAGCCUCCUUUAUGGCGCAAUAUGUCGGCGCUACAUCCCCACUACAGAUGCUGCUAAGGGAAAAACUUCCAGCACCGAUGCAUGUAGUGAGCACGCACACCUACUGUGGAAUACACAGGAGCAAUCACUCGAAGAAGAACCUAAGUUAGGAAUGCUGUGUGCAUGCAUACACAGCUAAGCUAGCUUUAUCUUGAACUGGACUGUGACCUUCUCUUCCCUGGAGGGGGGCGAAAGGGCUUGAGGGU